rnacentral:rRNA from 1 species
UGAGCUUGAUCCUGGCUCAGGAUGAACGCUAGCGGCAGGCUUAACACAUGCAAGUCGAGGGGUAUUUAUCUUCGGAUAGAGAGACCGGCGCACGGGUGCGUAACGCGUAUGCAAUCUACCUUUUACAGAGGGAUAGCCCAGAGAAAUUUGGAUUAAUACCUCAUAGUAUAUAGACUCGGCAUCGGGAUUAUAUUAAAGUCACAACGGUAAAAGAUGAGCAUGCGUCCCAUUAGCUAGUUGGUAAGGUAACGGCUUACCAAGGCUACGAUGGGUAGGGGUCCUGAGAGGGAGAUCCCCCACACUGGUACUGAGACACGGACCAGACUCCUACGGGAGGCAGCAGUGAGGAAUAUUGGACAAUGGGCGCAAGCCUGAUCCAGCCAUGCCGCGUGCAGGAUGAUCGGUCCUAUGGAUUGUAAACUGCUUUUAUACGAGAAGAAACAUCCCGACGUGUCGGGACCUGACGGUAUCG